CCUGCCCAGUGGUCUAACAUCCCAAAGCCAAGCUUCAAGCAACUGUUACACCUUUGCCCAUGGGGCCGAACAGCACCACCUACACUUCCUCUCUCCCCCUUCGGCUGGAGCUGAAGCUGCACACUUCCUCCUGAGAAAACAGUGCUUUAGCAGAAUAGCCCCAUCUACUUCUCUCAGUUAUGGCUGUGCCCUGCCUCUAAGGUCCUGAAUUGAAAAGUGUACUGCCUCUUGAGGAAACAGUGCCUUGGCAGAGACCCACAUCUCAGGGAAAUAGUGCCUGGCAGCCCAGAACAGCCACCCUCCAUGCCUGAGCCUGAGCUGAAGUGGCACACAAACCCCUAGGGGAUUGGUGCCCUGGAACCUGAGAAGCUCAGGGCUGAGCUGAUGUAGUACCCCAUGUUCCAGGGAAACAUGGCAGUGGCUGAGCUGAGACACUCUAGCCUACAGGUUAAACUACUCUAAUACCUUGCUUUCCUGGCAUUAGACUAGUCUCCUAGAGUCUGAGCUGCCAAGAAAGGCCUCUCUCCAGGGAGUGCAAUCAUCACUGUGCUGCUCCCCUGACCCCCAGGGCCCAAACAACAGAUGUGCUUGGGCACUAGGAAAGCUUGCUGCUGCACCUAGCCUCACAGAGUCUGGAAUACUACUGAGUCCGCCAUCCCGGAGUCACCACUACAUGUUGCCUCAUCCCCAGGGACCCAAGUUUCCACUGAGCUCUAUUGGACCAGAUUCCCAAAUUGCAGAUAUACCUUGCUCUCUGUACUCUAAACUCCAGAGCUCCUUUUCUUCCCUGGAGUUGGAUUCUACCCCCUCCCCACAGGGGUAGAAUCACAGGUAAAACCAAACUCUCUGGGUCCAAGCUUCUAGGGGUUUCCUCAGAGUUGCAGAUUCUGGCUCUGCAGGCAAAUUACAUCCAACCCUGCCAUAAACAGUGAACCUGCACCUCAAGACCCAGGUGCCACAAUAAGUGCAUGAGACUCUGUGAGAAAAUUGAAAGUAGGAGGACUUCAAGCACCCAUAAAGAAAGAAUUUUAAAAAUAACAAAAGAAAACAUUAAGUCACAUAUAAAGAAUCCCCAUUAGAGUAAUAGUAGAUUUAUCCUCAGAAACCUUACAGGGCAGGAGAGAAAGAAAUGACAUAUUCAAAGUACUGAAAGAAAAAAAAAGGCAGCCAAGAAUACUAUACCCAGUAAAUCUAUUCUUCAGAAAUAAGGGAGAGCCAGGUUUGGUGACAUAUGCCUGAAGUCCCAACUACUCAGGAGGCUGAGGUGGGAAGAUUGUUUGAGCCUAGGAGUUCAGAUCAGCCUGAACAACACAGGGAGACCUCAUCUCAAAAAAAGAAAAAAAAAA
rnacentral:lncRNA from 1 species